rnacentral:rRNA from 1 species
GGCCAGACUCCUACGGGAGGCAGCAGUGGGGGAUAUUGCACAAUGGGGGGAACCCUGAUGCAGCGACGCCGCGUGGGUGAAGAAGCGCCUCGGCGCGUAAAGCCCUGUCAGCAGGGAAGAAAAUGACGGUACCUGACUAAGAAGCCCCGGCUAACUACGUGCCAGCAGCCGCGGUAAUACGUAGGGGGCAAGCGUUAUCCGGAUUUACUGGGUGUAAAGGGAGCGUAGACGGCGAUGCAAGCCAGAUGUGAAAGCCCGGGGCUCAACCCCGGGACUGCAUUUGGAACUGUGUGGCUGGAGUGUCGGAGAGGCAGGCGGAAUUCCUGGUGUAGCGGUGAAAUGCGUAGAUAUCAGGAGGAACACCGGUGGCGAAGGCGGCCUGCUGGACUGCGACUGACGUUGAGGCCCGAAAGCGUGGGGAGCAAACAGGAUUAGAUACCCUAGUA